CCUAGGGGAGGCAGCAGUAGGGAAUAUUGGGCAAUGGGCGCAACCCUGAUCCAGCAAUGCCGCGUGAGUGAAGAAGGCCUUCGGGUUGUAAAGCUCUUUUGUCAGGGAAGAAACAGCAGCUCUAACACAGUCUGCGAAUGACGGUACCUGAAGAAUAAGCACCGGCUAACUACGUGCCAGCAGCCGCGG
rnacentral:rRNA from 1 species